rfam:Astyanax mexicanus chromosome 8, whole genome shotgun sequence.
AAGGUAUCGUACGCCACGGCCAUGGACUGGUUCAUUGCGGUCUGCUUUGCGUUC